rnacentral:tRNA from 1 species
GCCUCCGUAGCUCAGCUGGCAGAGCAUCCGCCUUGUAAGCGGACGGUCACCGGUUCGAAUCCGGUCGGAGGCU